UUCGGGAGAUUCCUGUACUGCGGUAUGACAGAACUGUGGGGACACGUAAGGAAAGCGGAAGCCGGGAAUGGAAAGCCCGGUGCAAGCGGGGUACCAGUCACUUUGGCAAAUCCGGGUGGCAAUGGGAAGCCGUGAUGCGGAGCGAAAUAAAGUAGCGAAGUCCGUGAGCCAUGCGUCAAGAAAAGCCGCUAUCGUUUAUACCGUACCCGUACCGUAAACCGACACAGGUGGAUGAGGAGAGAAUCCUAAGGCCGGCGGAAGAAGCAUUGUCAAGGAACUCGGCAAAAUGGCCCCGUAACUUAGGGAUAAGGGGUGCCUGGGAAACCAGGCCGCAGAGAAUAGGCUCAAGCAACUGUUUAGCAAAAACACAGGUCUAUGCGAAACCGAAAGGUGAGGUAUAUGGGCUGACGCCUGCCCGGUGCUGGAAGGUUAAGAGGAGAGGUUAGCGGUAACGCGAAGCUUUGAAUUUAAGCCCCAGUAAACGGCGGCCGUAACAAUAACGGUCCUAAGGUAGCGAAAUUCCUUGUCGGGUAAGUUCCGACCCGCACGAAAGGCGUAAUGAUUUGAGCGCUGUCUCGACAAUGCAUCCGGUGAAAUUGAAGUACCAGUGAAGAUGCUGGUUACCUGCGCCAGGACGGAAAGACCCCAUGGAGCUUUACUCCAGUCUGGUACUGGGACUCGGUAUUGCAUGUACAGGAUAGGUGGGAGGCUAGGAGAUGGUAACGCCAGUUGCCAUGGAGCCGCUGUUGGGAUACCACCCUUGCAGUAUUGGGCUUCUAACCAGCCGCCGUGACCCGGCGGUGGGACAAUGCCAGACGGGGAGUUUGACUGGGGCGGUCGCCUCCGAAAGGGUAUCGGAGGCGCCCAAAGGUUCCCUCAGAAUGGACGGAAACCAUUCGAAGAGUGCAAAGGCAGAAGGGAGCUUGACUGCGACACCGACGGGUGGAGCAGGUACGAAAGUAGGGCUUAGUGAUCCGGUGGUAUUAAGUGGGAAUGCCAUCGCUCAACGGAUAAAAGCUACCCUGGGAUAACAGGCUUAUCACUCCCAAGAGUUCACAUCGACGGAGUGGUUUGGCACCUCGAUGUCGGCUCAUCGCAUCCUGGGGCUGUAGUAGGUCCCAAGGGUUGGGCUGUUCGCCCAUUAAAGCGGUACGCGAGCUGGGUUCAGAACGUCGUGAGACAGUUCGGUCCCUAUCCGGCGUGGGCGUAGGAUAUCUGAGAGGAGCUGUCCUUAGUACGAGAGGACCGGGAUGGACGGGCCGCUGGUGCAUCGGUUAGACUGCCAAGUCUACGGCCGAGUAGCCAAGCCCGGAAGGGAUAAACGCUGAAGGCAUCUAAGCGUGAAGCCCCCCUUAAGAUGAGAUAUCCCAUUCGAAAGAAGUAAACCCCCUUGAAGACGACGAGGUAGAUAGGGCAGAGGUGGAAGUGCAGCAAUGCAUGGAGCUGACUGUUACUAAUCGGGUGAGGGCUUGACCG
rnacentral:rRNA from 1 species